ACCAGGCCAUGGUGAGGAUCUAUGAGGUUGAGAUAUUCUCAGACACUGGGAAGCAGGGUUCUGGUCUUUGCCCCCAAACGUGGUCUGAGUGAUGUUACCCUUUAUAAACCAUCUCAGAGGGUUCAUGGGAUGAUCUGCCAGAGUGAUCACCCAGUGUGUCCUGCUGGGAUCAUGCUUUCCUUUGUGAAGGUUCCUACAUUGGUGCCUUCCUUCCAGGCUUCCAGCUGGGUUGCAGACAUCAACCCAACUGUCAUGGAUUAGCUUGUAUGUAGAUUAGAUCUAGUAGGAUGUGUUUCUGGAGUCCUUUGGCAAAUGCAUCAGCUGGGAUUCAGAGUAAUGGGUAACCUUUCUUGAAUACAUAAUUCAAAGGAAUAGUGUUGUGGUUUCAGCCCUGGCUGCACUUUAGAAUCCGCUGGAGCACUUUAAAUCAAGUGAUGCCUAAACCUGUAGAUUUAUUAAGUCAGAAUCUCUGUGCUUGGGACAAGGCACAGGUAGGUUUUCAAAGCAAAAGGUGAUUCUAAUGGACAACCGGGGUUGAAAACUACUGGGCUAGCCAAUUGUUGAUUGAAUCAAUGGUGAUAACCUUACAUGUUCAAGAGGCCUGCAAGAUCCCUAUUAUAUAUAUGAAGAGAAUGUUAUUCUUCAGGACCGUGGACACCUUUGUGGGAAGCAGUGGAUUCUCAAACUUUAAUGUGCAUACAAAUCACCUGAGGAUCGUUUUAAAUCACAUAUUUUAACAGGAUUCUGCAUUUCUAACAAGCUCCCAGGAGGUGCUGAUCCGGACUAUGCACCACAGUGAGAAGCAAGUAUCUAGACCAGCACUCUGCAAACUGGAAUAGGAUACAUGAAACUUCCAAGCUGGUAUUGAACAUCCUUGUACCUGUCUCCAGCUUCUAUGACAUGAAGAAGCUGUUGACUGCCAAGUAAAGACACAGAGAGAAGAUGCCCAUCUAUAAACCAAGAAGUGGGAUCUCAUCAGACACCUAAUCUGCCGGCACCUUGAUCUUGGACUUCCCAGCCUCCAGAACUGUUGAGAAAUCAAUGUUUGUUGUUCAAGCCCCCCAGUCAGUGGUGU